rnacentral:rRNA from 1 species
GAAGGCGAAAUCAAAACAGCACAGACGAAGAGUUGGGAGGAGAAAAAAAUACUAACCGCGACGAGCACAGCACACGCACCCGUCUCUCUCGCUUCUUCCUCCCCUCCCCUCCCCCGUCCCGGUCGCGGUCGACGUCUCGCACGCCCCAUCGCCGCAAGCAAAGGCCAAGGUGGCAGGAGCUCCUCGCGGCUCUCUCGGAGCGUCGCCGACGGCGUGAGAGGAGUUGGGAUCCGGAUCCCGCGCGGCGGAGCGAUCUCCGGCCGCCUCGCCGGAUCGCCGGAGACAGUGUAAGUGACCGCGGCCGUCGAGCUCGGUCUUCGGCGGCAUGCGUUUGAGUUUAGAACUGAUACCUUUUUUUUCGCCACCCUCUUCGGCUGCAGUUUGCUGGUGUCCAUCCGGCGGGGGAUUUUUGGAGCUUGUGGCGGGAUUCAGAGAUGGAGGAGCUGCUGGGCACGGAGAUCGGGAAGCACGACUACGACUGGCUUCUUACUCCCCCGGGUACACCCCGUGCUCCUGCACUGGAGGUUGCUGAGAAAGCCCCACCAUCAAAUGUGCCUAAACGGACCAUCACUAGAUCGUCCUCAACCACCAGAGCAUCAAGGCUUUCUGUUCAUGAAACAGAGAAUGGACAUUCAGCAGCUCCCAAUAGACCAGUGCGAAGCAUGUCCCGACCUUCAAACAGGUCAUCAGUGCUCACUCCAAGCAUUUCUUCUGUCAGUUCGAGACCUACUACCCCAACCAAGAGCACUAGCACUCUUCCCUCUUCAAAGCCAUCAGCUCCAGCUUCACGUCCAGUGGCAGCACGAUCAUCUACUCCGGUCAAAACCCGUCCACCUACCCCGGUCAAAACUCGUCCAUCUACUCCAGUCAAAAACUGUCCUUAUGGUUCCGGCUCCAUGGCCAACUCAACCUCUGUGAAGACCACAUCUGCGCAGAACUCAAGGUCAUCAACUCCAACCUCUCGGCCCCGAAGCGUUUCCAGCUCAUCAUCAAGCACGGCUCCUUCAGUGAGUCGUCCCAGCUCAUCCUCUGGUAGAAUUCCUGCAAUUGUUCGUACCAGCUCUUCCUCAAGUACAGCUUCAGUGACCCGUUCUAGCUCUCGGUCGUCUACACCUACACGCCAGCCUGUCAUGCGUCCAUCAGCUCCAUCCAUAGCUCGCUCACCUUCAGUUGGGAGGAUUUCUGGUAGCAAUAACUUAACAUCUAGUGGACGUUCGGCAGCCAGCCGUGGUCGAAUGUCAGCACCUUCAUCAGCGCCAUCAUCCCGUCCAAGUUCCCCAAAUACACGUCCGCGAGCUCCAGUUAGGCCACUAGAUAUUCCAGAUUUUCCAAGUGAUACUCCUCCUAACCUAAGGACAAAGCUACCAGAAAGGCCACUCUCUGCUGGUAGAGCACGGCCAGGAAUUGGUUUGGGAACCAGGUCAACCCUGAAUGCUGAACCAGUUACCUCAGCUCCUGUGAAGAAGAUAUCUGUGCCUGCUAUUACUCGAAAUAAGUUUUCUGAUGCACCAUCCAAGACACCUUCUCUUACCAAUGGACACCAGAAUCGACAAACUGAGAGAUCUGUUAUGGACAGUCAGCCUGCUAGACCCUCUCGGUCUGCGACAAGUGAAGAAAAUGGAUUUGGCAGGACAAUAUCAAGGAAGUCACUUGACAUGGCAAUCAGGCACAUGGACAUUCGACAUAACUUGGGUGGCAUCCGAGGUGCAUCUCUGUUUCCUCAUAGCAUCCGGUCUUCUGCUCCCAAGGGCCGUUCAGCUCGAAUGUCCGAUCCUGGCCAUCACACCUCAAAUGCCGAGCAAGACGCAUACACCGACAGUGGCAGCAUCAAUGGGCAGUUCUCCGGUGAUUCCAUUGGAGCCCUUUCACACUACGGUGGGAGCUCAACUGACUCCCCAGACAGAGAAAGCAUGGGAACUAAAGAGACGCUGAGCGAACUGGAUAUGUAUGGCAGUUCAAGGUACGAGGAGAUGCUACUAAGGGAGGACACGAAGAACACGGACUGGUUGCACAGCGUCGACGACAAGUCGGACCAGAGCCCUGUGUUCGAUCACCGGUUCGAGCCGCUCCCAGAGCCGUUUGGUCCGCUGUGAUGCUUACCAUCUGUAAAGGUUUCAUCCGUCCGGUGGUUCAUUUUGUUCUUUGCAGUUGCGAGGCUGUAUUCUGCUCUCUUUAGAUGAAGGAAGAACUUUAUUGCUCGACGGCCUUUUUUUUGUUAGAUGCAGACACACGCACGCAGAGUUGUAUGUUGUUAUCUCAUUCGAUGUGGUCUUCCAUCUCCCCCAUCUUUUCAUGUAUCUGCUGAAAGAUGGCAAGAUUGCGGGGUUUUACAAUGUCUAUGUUUAUAUAAACACCACUUGUUUAUGUUUAUAUAAACCUUUUCUCACGAAAAUACCGUCACCUUGUUCCUGGUCUGUCACAGUGGUUUGCAAGUUAAAAGGAAUGGUUUGCAAG